rnacentral:rRNA from 1 species
UACGUAGGCAGCGAGCGUUGUUCGGAGUUACUGGGCGUAAAGGGUGUGUAGGCGGUUGUUUAAGUUUGGUGUGAAAUCUCCCGGCUCAACUGGGAGGGUGCGCCGAAGACUGGAAGGCUUGAGUAUGGGAGAGGUAAGCGGAAUUCCUGGUGUAGCGGUGAAAUGCGUAGAUAUCAGGAGGAACACCUGCGGUGUAGACGGCUUACUGGACCAUAACUGACGCUGAGGCACGAAAGCGUGGGUAGCAAACAGG